AUGGAGCUAAUGAGAGGGCUCAUAAAUCAGCUUAGUGAGCUUAUAUCUUGGUUGGGCACACAGGACCUUGGUCCGAGGAGCUUGGGACUUUCCCACAACUUGUCUAGAUACAAGCUGAAAUUCAGUCCUAAAAAGUAUUUGACUACUUGUGCGAGGGUGCACAUGUGA
rnacentral:rRNA from 1 species